CCCUGACAGUCGCAUGGUGCGGCUGACAUUUGCCACGACAGGAGGCUCACAUG
rnacentral:sRNA from 12 species